rnacentral:tRNA from 1 species
GCCUAGUUGGCUUAGCUGGUAAAGCAUGUGACUCUUGACCUUGGAGUUGUGAGUUCAAGCCUCAUGUUGGGUG